rnacentral:rRNA from 1 species
CUACGGGUCGCUCCAGUGAGGAAUAUUGCACAAUGGGGGGAGCCCUGAUGCAGCAACGCCGCAUGGAGGAUGACGCAUUUCGGUGUGUAAACUCCUUUUAUAUGUCAAGAAAAUGACGGUAGCAUAUGAAUAAGCGCCGGCUAACUCCGUGCCAGCAGCCGCGGUAAUACGGAGGGCGCAAGCGUUACUCGGAAUCACUGGGCGUAAAGGACGCGUAGGCGGGUUGAAAAGUCAGGUGUGAAAGCCUACAGCUUAACUGUAGAACUGCACUUGAAACUCUCAAUCUAGAGUAUGGGAGGGGCAGAUGGAAUUAGUGGUGUAGGGGUAAAAUCCGUAGAUAUCACUAGGAAUACCUAAAGCGAAGGCGAUCUGCUGGAACAUUACUGACGCUGAGGCGCGAAAGCGUGGGGAGCAAACAGGAUUAGAUACCCCGGUAGUC